GGCCGGUUAGCUCAGUCGGUUAGAGCGUGGUGCUGAUAACACCAAGGCCGCAGGUUCAAUCCCUGCUUGGUCCC
rnacentral:tRNA from 1 species